ACAAAAUAGCAGAGAAACCCUCUACUAGGGUUUCGUUUUCUAUGCCGCCGCCGAUCAAGGCCUUCCCACGGUCUCAGUCGCCGACCUAGUCUCCGAUCGCGACGGAGAAAGGAACAGAACGCGACAAUACCGGGUAAGUCUCUCUCCUCCCUCUUUUUUAAAAGAAAAAAAAAAGACAAAGAGGAAAAAACCUCGAAAGAAAAUCGAAAAGAACGCAAAAAAAGAAAAAGAAAAAGAAAAUAAAUGAGACGAUUAACAAAGACGCAGUUCACCUUUAUUUUUUGUUAUAACUUUCCUUUAUUUUCCUUAUCUGUUUGAGAAUCUUUCUUUUUUUUAAUGCAAAAACAAAUCGGCCUUUUUAUAGCCCGGGGAAAAAAAAUACAAUUCCUUUAAUUGACACUAUUUUCUUUUUGUUUGACUCUUUUAGUCCGUUUUUACAGGUGAUCGUGGGGGAUACGGCGCACAUGGAGGAGGCCGGUUCCGAAUCUUGCGACGGCUGGGGUCUGCUGGAGGCCGUAUGCUGUUAGGGUUUCCCGACCCUUUCUCUGCCAUUGGUUUCGGGCUUGGGUUAGUUGGGUUUUAGGUUUAGGGUUAUUGGGCUUGUAAAAAAACAGGACUGCCUAUUUUUGUUUUGUAUGGGCCCGAGCCAAUUGGGCCUGUUACAAUCUUUUUUUCAUUAUUAUAUUUUUGGAAUAACAUAUUAUUUGAACAGAUGGAAAAAUGUGGGUAUACCAAACAAGCUUGAAGAUAUUUGGUUAUUGUUAAAUCAAUGGUUAAAAGUUGAGGUCAGUUUUUGAAUUUUUUUUAAUUACAUAAUAAUUAUGUAAGGAUUUGAAAUUUAAUAUUAGGUAUG
rnacentral:lncRNA from 1 species